UUUGAUUUUCAUUUUAUAUUUAGAAUAACAAAAAAAUAAAAUCAGUAAGAGACAGAAACGAAAAAAGGUCAGUUUUUUUCAUUUUCUGAGACCGGAAGUGGUCAUCAGCAAGUGUGGAGCCAAACGACAACAAGAUUCUCAGAGGGCGGAGCCAGAGAGCAGUGAUUGGUCAGAUCAUAGAUAAUAUAGAAGACAGCGAGCUAGCGUCUCUAGUCUGCUAUAUGUAUCUAUGGUUAGCACGUCUGGUAGCAUCUCUGGCUGCUGUUGACCUUGUUUUUGGAGUAAAACACGGUGGAAGCUGAAUUAGUGAGGAUGACUCCUGCUCCUGUCAUCUCUAAGCUCCUCACACAUCUUUACCUGCACAUGAGGAAAAUCACUCCUGUAGAAUGCAGUGGUUCAUCAGAACCUCUGGGGAUGUCCUGUGGAUUCUGUGGAUCCUGUGGGUUGCAGGGUGGGUCCUACCUAGACCAGGCUGAUCCUGGACCAUCCCACAGAUGCUCAAUCAGAUCUGGAUGUGGGGAGUGUGGAACCCAGAUGUUCAGAGGGAGAUGAUGCCACAUCUGGUCCAGCUGAUGGAAGGUCUUGAAGUUCUCUGACUGGCCUCGACUGAAGAUGGUCGUCUCACUGGAUUUAAGGUUCAGAUGCUCAGUAACAAACUCCACCAAUGAGCCAACAGGGAAGCUUUAGGUUUAUUAAAUGUUGCUAUGAAGGUAUCACUGUUUUUCUUUGUGAAUGCAAUGUGCUCCAACUGAAACUUGAAUUAGAACUUAGAAGUAAAUCCUUCCAUCUGAAAGGAUCUAGUUGCAUUAAUAACCUCAUAACAUUCUAAUUUUUAUUCCAGUCUUGGUUGGAAAUAGAAUCUCUGUAUUGAUUCAGGUAAAAACUGAACUUCACAGCAUGUUGGAGCAAAACAACCAGAUGAAAACUGUGAUGGUGUUGGAUUGUCAGACCGUAAUGUUGCAGCUCAAAGCAGCUUUUCUAUCUCAGUUCAUUCUGACAUUCAGCUAUGAAUCAACACAGCAGAUGGUGAUCCAUGCUGUGGAAGUCUCACAUCUCCUGAUUUAAUGGAGCUGCUUUGCACUUUUUACACUGUUUAUUCACCAACACUUUAUUUAAUAAAAGUCCCAUCUAGUUUUUAUGAGGAAUGUGAUGUUUUAAUUUCUCUGUGAAUAACUGCAGUCUAAUGCAACAGCUGGAGUUGUAACAUCUGUCCUGAUAUUGAUCAUGAAGUAUUGAUCAGAAUACUUAUGGUUAGCAGUCAUCCCUGAAGUUUUACAUUAAAAUCUUUACUUGUGUUGUGAACUUUGGUAAGAAGCAGAAAUGUUAGCGUUGCCAUGGAUACAUGAGUGUUAAAUUCUGUCCAUGUUUCCAUUUUGGGAAAUGCAGUCCAGUUCCAGAAUGUGGAGGAAUUUAGUCUCACAAUCACAGACAACAAAUAUUAUCUGAAAGUCGGGUUAUUGUUGUUUAUCAGCACAAUACAAAAAGAUUAAUGUUAGAAAUAUUCCAGUUAAGACUCUAGAAUAUCAUGAUUUAUGUAAAUUUACCUCAAUAAUAUGAAUGUUCAGGUUAAGAUUGUACAGUGAUAUUUAUUAUGUAAGUUUAGCUGAUUAAAGUUUAUGACUGCACUAAAAUAUUAUUUAAAUUGACAUCAUUAUUAUAAUAUUUAGGGUCAGACCCUACAGUAUUGAGAUUAAGAAAUCAAAUAUUCUAUAAAAUGUAAAUACACUGAACUCAUUUGGAUAUAUUUAAGUGAGACUCUACAAUAUUAUUUGACACAAAUCUAUCUAAAUCAAAAUUUUAAUAAUUUUCACACCAAACAUUUACUGGACUGAUUUAAAUAUUAAAAUCACUCCUUUCUAAUCCUCUGCUGUACGUUCAAACCUGAGGCCUUAAAUAGAAACACACAAGUAUCUGAUUGAAGGAACUUCUGCAGAGUCCUGGUUCCAGAACAUGAUGAUAGAAUUAUAGACAAACUUUAACAAAAGCUGCCUGAGAGUUUACAGGUUUUUAUGUUAGAUUUCUUCAGUAAUUUAAUGAGAGUUAUCAGCAAUAAUCAAGUGUUCAUUUGAUGAACUUCAUUUCCUAAAACAUCCAGAAUUGGAGCUCAUAUCUUUGGCAGCUGUAAAGUUUCUGCUCCUUCAAAGUUCACAACACAAUGAAUGAAUUCCUAAAACACUCUCAAUGCUGGAGAGCGUUUGUGAUGCUGAAGCAGUGAGCAGUUUUUCUGUUUCUUCUCUGGAGAUGCACAAUGAGGGACGUCUGCAGAGACUGAGAAAGAGUCUCACCACAUCCUGACAUGAGGAAAAAGACUUUAUUGAAGACUACAAUGAGAAAAACUAUCAGACAGCAGACGGCUGCAUUCAAGGUGAACUCUGAACAUUUGAUCUGGAACAGGAAUUCAAUAACGGCAGCAUGAGCUUCAUUUCAGUCUGUAGCUGCUGAAUUCAUGGAUGAAUCAUCUGGCACUAGAGAGGAAGACCAUCAAACAUCCACGUCAGCUGAUGGAGGUCCAAGAGUCUCACCAAACAAACAACCUACAGAGUGAAGACCUCCAAUCUGAUUGGACGGCCUCCUAUUCAGCCACAUGUGUGAACAAAUGCCUCUAAGCUGAUUUGUUUUCUAAAAUAAAUCUAGUUUGAGUCCUAAUCUAUGCCUGUGUGUUUGCUUCUUUACACCGCUGUUAACAGUUUAGGCUGUUAGAUUGUUCCAGAUAAGACAAGUACAAGAUACUUCAGAGCCGUUCUACCACGAGCCUGACAGGAAGAACUCCAACAGCUACUGAAUGUUCCUGUGGUUCCCUCAAGGCUACAGGAGGAGCCCUACGAGGACGAGCCGGUCCACCUGAUGGCGGCCAGUCGCUGCGGUUCAAAGCCAACACCGACUACGUGGACUUCUACUGGACCACACGGAGGCCUUCAAACCGGACCAACAAGUUCAGCGACUCCCCGACUCGUGGGUCUGAGGACGCCGCCGAGCCUCGGUCCAGCCGGCCUCCUGUCUGUGGGUGUUUGAGUGCUGAGAGGUUUGUGGAUGCAUGUGAACGUUCUGUGUUGAAACAGCAGCUUUGGACUCAGUAACGCCGGGAAAAACCAAGAGCUCCUUUAUUUGUGACUUCCACUAAAAAAACUGAUGAAAAUAAGUUUGCCAGGGUUCUGACUGAUAACAGAUUAUUAAAUAAUGAAAAUAAUCAGUUUAAAUAUUCCUUUAAACAAUCCUUUUAGGUCUACAUUUCCUUUACACUGACUUCUUGGUAUAUGUACAAGUAUUUUGGGUGGAAUAUACCAUUAAGCCUGAUGUUCAAGGGUUCUUCUGGGAAUAUACCAUUAAACCAACCUUUUAGGUAAAUGUUCCAGGAUGUUGGGUAGAAUAUACCAUCAGAUCAACCUUUUAGGUCUACAUUGGAAGAUUUUAGAGUAGAAUAUUACUCCAAACCAUCCUUUAGGUCUACAUUUAAGGUGGAAUACUCCUUUACACCAAGAUUUUUUGGUCUACAUUGAAGGAUUUUAGGUGGAAUAUUCCUUUGAACGAACUUUUUAAGUUUAUGUUCAAGGAUGUUGGGUGGAAUAUACCAUCAGACCAACCUCCAAGGUCUACAGUAGUGAAUUUUAGGUGGAAUAUACCAUUAAACUCACCUUUUAGGUCUACAUUGGAGGAUUUUAGGUGGAAUUUUCUUCCAAACCGUCUUUUAGUCUACAUUUAAGGAUGUUUAGGAUGGUAUAUUCUUCCAAACCAACUUCUCAGGUCUACAUUUCAGGUGGAAUAUUCCUCCAUACUAACUUUUUUGGUCUACAUUGAAGGAUUUUUUCUAAACCACCCUUUCGGGUCUAUAUUUGAGGUUUUAGGUGGAAUAUUCCUUUUAACCAGCCCCUCAGGUCUCUUUGAGGAUUUUGGAUGGAAUACUCGGUUAAACCAACAUUUUAGGUGCAUGUCCAAGGAUUUUUGGUGGAAUGUUCCUUUAAGGUGGAUGUUUGAGGACCUUGUAGGUGGAAUACUUCCUGAAACCAACCUUUUAGGUCAACAUUCAAAGAUUUAAGGUGGAAUAUUCCUUUAAACCAACCUAAAUUUCAUGUUUUGAUCAUUAUCAAGUGAGAAACCUCAAUCCAGACUCCUCAUAAUGACGUUUGAGAUUUAUGCUGCUGUUAUUUGUUUAGUCCAGACUAAAUGACAGAAAUCCACAACUGUAAUUUUAUUUCAGGACUCGGUUAUUAAAUGUCAAAACAAUCCAUGUGACUCUAAAAACUCAACAGCUUUACAAACUCUAAGAUUAAACUCUCCACAAGGAUCCAAAAUAAGUUGGACUUCUACAUGAGAGCUUUAAUUAUUCUUCAUCUACUUCCUGAAAAGUUUGGUCAAUAAAAAAGACAAAAACUAAUAUUUUCAGCUGAACUAAAGACAGACUUUGUGAUUUUUCUGCUCACAUGUUGUGUUGUUGUAAACUUCCUCUUUCAAAUAAAUAUCCUCCUAACCCCCUGGAAA